UGCUGCCACGUCAUCUCAUUUAGAGAAGGAUCGUUACUGUCACUCCAUCACCAGGAGCAUCCUCAGUCACCUGAAGCUCCAUUUCUCCCAGAAGUCAAUGUUUGCCUUCUCCCACUUCUCCCUUUACCAUCAGCAAAAUCUCUUUCAGUAUUCACGGAAGCAACUUUCACCCACCCACCUCCAAGCUCACUUUCCCCACAAACUAUCCUGAAGGAACAAUUCGAGGAAGGAUGGUCAUGCAGCGAGCUGGAGCUUCCACUCCCCCGAGAGGAAAAUAGGGCUCAUGCUGCCCGUCUUCCUGCUUCCUUUUGUUUUGCACAUCAGAUGUACUUGAAGACCAAGACUAUGAUUUUCUAUGCAUAACACUCUGCUUGAGACCUCUGCUAUGACUGGCUUUCAUGAAGCUGACAAGGGAGAGGAAGGGCAAAGACUUUCAUCUCAGGUUCUGUGGUGGCAGCCGUACAGCAGGAUGCACGUGCCCUGAGUUGGAGCAAGCCUGAUGGACAGCCUGGCAUCAGCACGCCCCAGGUGAAACUGUCCACAUUAGCAAGAGCUAUGGUCCAGCAGCAACCCAUCACUACUGAGAAUCCUGCAUCUGCCCUAUAAGAAUUUGUGUUUUUUUACUGCAAACUGGACACAGUCCCUGUCCUCCGGGCCCCCCUGUACAUGUGGUAUGAGUCUGGUUGGAGGACAGCCGUCCCUGGGGGACCACACCAAGCACAGUGCUGGCCUUCCUUCUUCCUCACAUUGACCACUGAAGCAUCUCUCCACCUGCCACUUGCUUACUCAAGCCCUCACACAGAGGAAACCCCUUUUCCUCCUCUGACUCCCGCUCCUGGCUUAUUUCUGCUUGUUUUGGUUUGGGGCAUUUAAAAGUGAAGAUGCAGUGCCCGCUAGCCCAAGGGCUCACUGCUGAGGAGCACGAGAGCAGUGUCAGCUGUGCUAAGUCUUAUGGCAAUAGGAACAGCUGGGGGUAGACGUUGGCCCCUGACCUCUGCCUCAUACACUGUGGGGUCCUGCCACUAUCCUGUGCCCCAUCAGGGCUGCAUCAUGAUUUCUAACCUCAUUCCCUUGCUUUUCAAAGGGAGAGCAAAUUAAUGGGGGCAAACAGCAACAGACUCUGCUGGGCAUUGCAGGAGAUGGGCAAAAGCUGGCACUGUGCUGCCUCAUGGCAUAAGAGCUGAAAGCUUCCAUUCUUGAUCCUUAUGUACAUCUGCAAAAUUGUCAAUCAAUGCCGGGUUUGUUGCACAAGAAAAUGUGAGAAGAGCUCGCUCGUACAUUGCCAGCAAACAGCCUUGUGUAAGCACUUUGCUCCUCACUCUCUGCUACUUGCUCAGUCAAGAAAACGCGCUCCUCUCUGGAAAGAGCCAAGAUCCCUUGCACAGGGCACAGCCUCCUCCUGCUUUCUGAAAAGUGGUGCAGCAGCUUCUCUUCAUUCCUUAUUUUCUAGGCUAUACCAUCCUGAAAGUGGUACCCACUAUUACAGCCAUGCAUUUUACCUAGUGGAUUAAAAGGAGUGAUUUUGAAGCACCCAGAGUGAAAGGGGUUGCUUGGUUGUUCCUGCUGUAGAAAUAGCCUGGACUGACGCCAGCAUCCAGCCACAGGGAGCCCAGCUGCAUGUGGCAUGACAGCUUUCCUCUUCCUCCUGGAAAACCAGCCUCUGAGGGCAUUUUUGGAGGUAGAAGCCACACUGUGGGAAAUCCAAAGCCUCUCACAUUGGGAUGCACCCACCAAAUGGCACCGGGCGAUGUGAGGGGACUCAGCCCAUGGAACAGUCAGCAGGGAAUGGCUUCAGCUGCUCUGCAGGUCAGCCCCUUGCAGAAGUCACCUGCAGAACCACAAUGAUGACCCACACCAGCACUUCUGUCCUUCCCAUACAGACAGGCAGCAUUUACUUACUCAGACAAAUUAAAUAUUUGGGGGAGAAUAAUCAGCUCAUAGCUAUGGGGAAGUUACCAAGCUGAUUACUGAGAAGCCGCUCUUCUGUGUGACUUCUGUGUGACUAUAUUAUAUAUAUAUGUUGUGCAACAACAUGGACCUGUGACAACUCACUCUGCUGUUGCCAUUACCCAGCACUGUUAUCCAGCAGCAGUUUCAGUUACUGACAUUUCCUUAAUCAUCCUUCCUUCUUUUUAUUUCUCAUGUCUCUCUUACUUUGGUUCCAGGUAAUAGGAACAAUGUUAUAUUCUUCAUUUACAUUUAAUUUGCCUGUGUGUGCCCCCCACGUAGUUUGUACAAAAACAGUCUGUCAGUUCCUCCCUCAGAGAGUUAACACUCAGGCUUUCUUCAAUUUCUUUUGACCCCUACUACAAAAUUUAUUUUGAUGAAUUAUUUAUGUCUGGAGCUCCCCAAGGAAUUAUCAUUUGUAUCUUCUAUAGUUUCUGCCUGUCACCAGCUAUUACUGAAUUACAUCAGCCGGACAGCAGCUGCCAGUAAUCAAACCAGGUUCCUCCUCGGCCUUGGCUUUUUGCAUCACCCAACGGACACAAACCAACCAGCUCCUGGAGCAGGUUAUUUUACAAGCUUGCUCCCUUGCCCAUUUUGGAGGCUAAAGUUGGGUUGAUUUGAUUUCCUAAUGAUCUUUGUAUGAAAGGCAGUAAUAAAGAAAAAUAUGCUGUUACUUCCGUGCAUUUAGGAGGGCAAAAGAUGCCAAACCCAAAAUUUAUCCUAGCCUUGGACUAGAAUAUACUUGUAUCUGGCUAUGCUCAUUGUCAAGUAAAAACAACUGUAUUUUCCUAAAAUUACUUAAUUCAAACAUCAUCACCAGGAAGCAAAUAUACCUACAAGCUCCCUAAGCCCUUCUUGAAAAAUAAAGCAAACCCCUGGGUGUGAAUAUUUACUUAUCCAGCAAUGGGCCUUGGUUGUCAUCUCCUCAGUCAUUCAUCCAAAGCCAGAGAGGAACAUUGUCGUGUUUUCCAGUCACCACAAGAAGUGGAUUCUUCUGGGCUUAAGGUCCUUAUUGUUAGAUCUUAGAGCAAUUAAAAGCUUCACAGAAGCCCUUUGAACAUGACUUCUUAUUUACCCUGGCAAUAAUAAAUAUUUAUGUGUAUUAAGCUAAACAGGCAAUAAAAUCUUUAUAGGAUUGGAGUUUUAGUCAGAUAAAACCUCUGUGUACAAAAAAUCCAAAUGUUGACCUUUUUUCAUUUGGUUAACUUUCAGUGAAUUUUCUGUGUCUGAAAAUGAAAGCUCUAUACAAAAUUUUUGCAGUGUUUUCAGUUUCACAUUGAAACUGACUUCCUCUGGUUUCUUUCAUUUUUAAUCUGUUUUCUCUCUCUCUCUCUCUCUCUCUCCAUGUUCCUGUGGCAAAAUAAGCAAAUGCCAAAAAGGAAAGAAAGAAAAAAUUGUGAAGCGUGGGAAGAAAAACAAAAGCAAAACCUAA